UCAGCUGAUGAUUCAUUCUUUAAAUCAACCCCAAAAGUAUGGUCAUUUUCAAUAUUCUCUUUUCCAUCACUAUCUGUGAAGCUGUCCAGAGUUUGUAGCUUCACUCCUUGCUUAAUGUUCAAACCAAAAUCAGGAGAUAGGCUGAGGAGUUCACUCAUUGGUUUUCCUUCAAUUUUGGUGGAUAUUGUGGACUCUCUAAAUAUUUGACCUCCACCAGAUAAGUUUACAUCAGUCUUUUUGGUGAACAAGAAGUGGUGAGUAGUUUGAGAAAACUUUGGAGGACCUCCAAAAAUCUCUUUUAC
rnacentral:misc_RNA from 1 species